rnacentral:tRNA from 1 species
GGCAGGAUAGCUCAGUUGGUUAGAGCGGAGGCUUCAUAAGCCUUAGGUCGCCGGUUCAAGUCCGGCUCCUGCUACCA